rnacentral:rRNA from 1 species
GACGAACGCUGGCGGCGUGCUUAACACAUGCAAGUCGAACGGAAAGGCCCUGCUUUUGUGGGGUGCUCGAGUGGCGAACGGGUGAGUAACACGUGAGUAACCUGCCCUUGACUUUGGGGUAACUUCAGGAAACUGGGGCUAAUACCGGAUAGGAGCUCCUGCUGCAUGGUGGGGGUUGGAAAGUUUCGGCGGUUGGGGAUGGACUCGCGGCUUAUCAGCUUGUUGGUGGGGUAGUGGCUUACCAAGGCUUUGACGGGUAGCCGGCCUGAGAGGGUGACCGGCCACAUUGGGCCUGAGAUACGGACCAGACUCCUACGGGAGGCAGCAGUGGGGAAUAUUGCACAAUGGGCGGAAGCGUGAUGCAGCAACGCCGCGUGCGGGAUGACGGCCUUCGGGUUGUAAACCGCUUUCGCCUGUGACGAAGCGUGAGUGACGGUAAUGGGUAAAGAAGCACCGGCUAACUACGUG